UGCAUCGUACGGUGAGGUUCAGACUCUGUUGACGCACAUCUUUAAUAAUUAAACGACGAAUCUGCAUGAAUCGUGCAGUUAAUUCACAAAUGGUAUCGAUGGCAUGUUUGGAUGUUCUCGUCGGAGGUACAUGUAACGUCAAUCAAUUCUGUCGAUUGUUCUCUUUGCAACACUUAUCAUGGACCAGACUGUCCUCGACUUUCGGUACACGUUUAAAUAAACGACGAUAGAUGACCGUAAUUCUAGUUGAAAUUAUCUUUCGCUACGAUGCAACUCGAGAAAGUACCUCUUCCAGUGCAACUAACUAAUGAAUUGACGUGAACGUCGUUCGCAUUGCACCUACUAUAAUCAUGAGACGAAGAUAUACUAACUUCAGAACAGUAUUUAGUGGGGGAGACCCGAUUAUUGAAACAUUUAUUGUUAUCGGUAAACAUUAUUAUCAAGGUAAAAAAUUGUUGGCUGUAAAGUUUUUUAAUAUCGAAGACAUUGGUUCAUUGGUACGCGGUAGAGGAAGUAAAUUUUCUAAUCUUUCGAUGCGAAAAUAUAAAGUAUGCUUAUAAAAGGAUAAGGACAGGAGCGUGAUUUAUAUUUUACUUUAACAUCUACUUUCAUCAUCAUCAUCAUUAUUAUUGGUAUUAUUAUAUAAAUUAAUACAAAAUAAUAUACAGUUUGAGUUAAGUCAAAUGAUAUUUGGUAAAUAAAUUGAAUCUUGAAGACCGUGAAGUUGGUUGCGUACGUCGGAGGACGCCAUCUACGAUUCCUAAAUCUCGAUUUGCCUUCGAUAGUACUCUCGAAGAGGAAAAGUUUUGAAGAGAAUCGAGAAAGCGGGAAGAGCUGAAGGAUGCUGGAAGAAUCAGGAAGAGUCAGGAAGAAUAAAAGAAAUCUAGAAAGUGUCAGAGAGUAUCGAAUCGCAAGCAUUAGUAUAAUUCAACGAAAAUCCGACAAUAUACGAUAAAAAACUAUGGAAAAGCAAAUAUUACUUUCCUAACGAUAUCGAAGAAUUUUCCGCAAGAGCACAGAAAUACAUACGAAGUUAAAAGGAAAGAAUUUUAUCAGAAGUAUGACUCAAGAUGGAAGAAUGUAUUCGCGAUUUGGCGCGUCCCAAUAGCCGCCAUAUUGAAUACAUCAAGCCGAGGAGAGAUCGUCGAAUUCCCAACACUAAUCGCGGCACGCUUGAAUUCGUUGGGAGAAGCGAGUAACUAUCAUCGAUGGGGAAUAAUUUUCAGGAAUUCGACGUAGAGAUCUUUUGAUCGAACGUGAAACCACGAUAUAUAUCACUACCACGUUUUAAAACGUCUCUCUCUCUUUAACUACUAAGCCCGUUUUUGUUUCGUAUUGAAAGAAUCAGCGAUACCUUUCACUAUCGGGCGUUUCACCCCUAGUAUUUGAGCCUCUGUCAGGGUCGGCAGUUUCAUAGAUAUCCUCCUCCUUGUGCAUUUGAUGGGGGUGUUGAACGAGCUGAUGGGUGCCGUAAGGACUUCGAGACGAUGGCUGACAAUAUCUACCGUUACCCGAACGGGCGAUGGAAAGAUAACAUGGAGAAAUAGAUGGACGCGGGCUUUCGACGUUUCAUUGGUACGUCGAGAGACAGGGUUGAAGCCGAUUGUCAAAGGGACACGGUAUAAACAGACUCUGCAUGUGUUCAAUCGUGAAACGUACCCGCGGUCGACGAUGCUGGUGGAUUAUAUCGAGAAUAGUACGGCUGGUAACUACGCUAAUUACUACGACUGUUAACGAAAAACCGUCCGGUUCACCCAGUCCGACAGCUGUAAAUAUGCGCAAGUAUGGAAGCACAAGAUACAAAACGAAUUGGCGAGAGAAGAAAAAAGGUAAGCAACGAUAACAGUAAUAAUAAUAAGAGUAGUAGUAGAUGUAACAGUGAUGAGUUUGUGCCAGCGUGUAUAAGAUGUUUGAUCGAUUAAGUAGAGCGAAUGAAAAAAAAAAAAAGAAAUUAUCGGAUAGAAAGGACCGAUUUAAUCGAUUACCGUAACGCCGAAUUGAUAUACGCCUGAUAACCGAUGUAACGUGUUCAUCGCGGCCGAGAUUAAACGAAGAUGGAAGAGUUAAACUCGGCCGCGAUCGAAAGCUUUGCGAAAAGUACGACGAUCGAGAACGGUAGAAGCGGAUGAGAACGUCGAUAAAAGUUAAACUUAAGCAGGCCGGAAGCGCUUAUUUCGCAUCAGUUCUUACCCUUGGG